rnacentral:rRNA from 1 species
AACACAUGCAAGUCGAGCGGAUGAGAGGAGCUUGCUCCUUGAUUUAGCGGCGGACGGGUGAGUAAUGCCUAGGAAUCUGCCUGGUAGUGGGGGAUAACGUCCGGAAACGGGCGCUAAUACCGCAUACGUCCUACGGGAGAAAGCAGGGGACCUUCGGGCCUUGCGCUAUCAGAUGAGCCUAGGUCGGAUUAGCUAGUUGGUGAGGUAAUGGCUCACCAAGGCGACGAUCCGUAACUGGUCUGAGAGGAUGAUCAGUCACACUGGAACUGAGACACGGUCCAGACUCCUACGGGAGGCAGCAGUGGGGAAUAUUGGACAAUGGGCGAAAGCCUGAUCCAGCCAUGCCGCGUGUGUGAAGAAGGUCUUCGGAUUGUAAAGCACUUUAAGUUGGGAGGAAGGGCAUUAACCUAAUACGUUAGUGUUUUGACGUUACCGACAGAAUAAGCACCGGCUAACUUCGUGCCAGCAGCCGCGGUAAUACGAAGGGUGCAAGCGUUAAUCGGAAUUACUGGGCGUAAAGCGCGCGUAGGUGGUUCGUUAAGUUGGAUGUGAAAGCCCCGGGCUCAACCUGGGAACUGCAUCCAAAACUGGCGAGCUAGAGUACGGUAGAGGG